ACUCCUACGGGAGGCAGCAGUGGGGAAUAUUGGACAAUGGGCGCAAGCCUGAUCCAGCCAUGCCGCGUGAGUGAUGAAGGCCCUAGGGUUGUAAAGCUCUUUCACCGGUGAAGAUAAUGACGGUAACCGGAGAAGAAGCCCCGGCUAACUUCGUGCCAGCAGCCGCGGUAAUACGAAGGGGGCUAGCGUUGUUCGGAUUUACUGGGCGUAAAGCGCACGUAGGCGGACUAUUAAGUCAGGGGUGAAAUCCCGGGGCUCAACCCCGGAACUGCCUUUGAUACUGGUAGUCUUGAGUUCGAGAGAGGUGAGUGGAAUUCCGAGUGUAGAGGUGAAAUUCGUAGAUAUUCGGAGGAACACCAGUGGCGAAGGCGGCUCACUGGCUCGAUACUGACGCUGAGGUGCGAAAGCGUGGGGAGCAAACAGGAUUAGAAACCCCGGUAGUCCCA
rnacentral:rRNA from 1 species